rfam:Mustela putorius prion protein (PrP) gene, complete cds.
GGGUGGUGGCGGCUGGGGCCAGCCCCACGGGGGUGGCUGG